UGACCUCUGACCUCAAAUCAUGUAGGACUACCCGUGAAACUUAAGCAUAUCAAUAAGCGGAGGA
rnacentral:rRNA from 1 species